rnacentral:misc_RNA from 1 species
ACCUACUGUUUAAUUUUGAGGGUUCGUUUUUACGAAUACUCAAAAUUAGCACUUUAAGCAACAGAAUAAACUGAACGCAUGUGAAGUUUGUUUGUUGGCGCUGUGCGUUAGCACUUUAAGCAACGGGAUUUAUCCGUUGGCGCUGUGUGUUAGCACUUUGAAAACUGCAUAUAUAUAUUUAGUGAUAUGACAUCUAAUUUGUAAUAUAAAGCUGAUAACUUUUUAAAAUUAUCGAAGUUGAUAGCUUCUAAUCUAUCAAACCUUUUUAACUGGUCAA